UUUCACAUUCCAUCUAAAAUUUUACGAGUGAUAAAAUAUUGAAUUGAUUUGAGCAUUCUUCUUCUCUAAAUUCAAAAGGAAAGGAAGAAAUUGGUUUAAUUAGUUACUUACCAUUUUUAUAUAUUUAAGUGAUAACUUGAGUUGCUAUACUUGCGUAAGAGCAAUUAUACUGUGUUUUGCGGUUAAUUUAACUAGUCACAGCAUACUGUUUGUCAAGUGUUGUUUCUGUGCUGAACAGUUUUAAUAUGAGUAGAUUUGGGCCAAGGACUUCCAUUUUACUGAUUGAUAUUGUCAAAGUUACCUUUCCUUCUUUUGGUAGAGAUAUAUUUUCCACUGGAGGUAAUAGAACGGAGCUGUAUGAGCAGGCUUUAACCACUUUAGCUUCAGGAACUUGAUGAGCUAGCUAUAAAGAAAGCCACCGCAAGAUCAAUGCUUGACUACGUCUCUAAGUUAAUCCACCAGAAAAUCUUUGAAAUUUUAUGCCAACCUUUAAAUGGGUACUCCCCAAAUUCUUUGGGCAUCAUUAAAACUCUUAUUACUAUUUUCUUCAUUUGAAAUACAGUUGGCUGUGCUUCUUUGAUACUAUGGGUGCUAAGAAAGAAGAAUUUUACAAUGUGUGAAAUGCAGCUUAUGUGGAAGCUUGUGAUGAAUUCGAAUUCCUCUAAGACUGUCCUGCUGUCGUUUAUUGCAUCAGAAGGAGCUUCAAAAAAGCUAAACAUCAGGGGAGGCUUUAUUGAUGUUUUUUCUUACACACUUGAUGUCUACUGCUGUGUUUAAGAGUGGUGCGAAGUAGAGAUACUUGAGGCUCGUGGUAUGCUUUAGUGGAAGGAUCCAACUCCCUAUUUCAUAUGUUGAUUAUAACAAUUUAAAACUGCACCAA